rfam:Asian citrus Psyllid, Diaphorina citri - Florida Strain, whole genome shotgun sequence.
CUUAGAGACGAUAGAUCGUUAAAUACACCAGUUCCCAAUGGUUCACUGAAGUUAAACAACGUUGCGCGUAGAUGGUAUUCGGACGGGUGACCAUGUGUGAAAUCGCGUGCUGCUAGCA